UGCUCAGUUUUGCAGCAACAUACAAAAAUUGGAAAAAUCAGAGAGAAUUAACAUGGCACUUAUACAUGGAUGACACACAUACUUAUGAAGUCUUCCAUAUUUAA